UACGUAGGUGGCGAGCGUUGUCCGGAAUUACUGGGUGUAAAGGGCGUGUAGGCGGGUUUGCAAGUCAGAUGUGAAAUUCCAGGGCUCAACCCUGGCGCUGCAUCUGAAACUGUAGAUCUUGAGUGCUGGAGAGGGAAGCGGAAUUCCUAGUGUAGCGGUGAAAUGCGUAGAUAUUAGGAGGAACACCAGUGGCGAAGGCGGCUUUCUGGACAGUAACUGACGCUGAGGCGCGAAAGCGUGGGGAGCAAACAGG
rnacentral:rRNA from 1 species